ACCAAUUCCGGAGGAUGAUUUUUGUUCCUCACGGUGUAAUGGCUCGGACGCGACAUGAUAUUCUCUCAGAUGUGUGGUAUAUCCUGAUUGGUGGCGUUCUCGGUGCCAAGCUGAUCCUGGAAACGCCACAUAUAUUC
rfam:Brachypodium distachyon strain Bd21 chromosome 1, whole genome shotgun sequence.